AACUGCUGCACAAGGAGUGUUCGAUUGGACUCCUUUUCACACAAUGAACAACCAGCUUAGAACUGAUGCGGGCAAGGGGAAUCCGACUGUUUAAUUGAAACAAAGUAUUGCGAUGCCCUGAAAGGAUGUUGACACAAUGUGAUUUCUGCCCAGUGCCUGAAUGUCAAAGUGAGGAGAUUCAACUAAGCGCGGGUAAACGGCGGGAGUAACUAUGACUCUCUUAAGGUAGCCAAAUGCCUCGUCAUCCAAUUAGUGACGCGCAUGAAUGGAUUAAUGAGAUUCCUACUGUCCCAAUCURCUGUCCAGCGAAACCACAGCCAAGGGAACGGGCUUGGGUGAGUCAGCGGGGAAAGAAGACCCUGUUGAGCUUGACUCUAAUCCGACUUUGUGAAAUGACUUAGGAGGAGUAGGAUAUGUGGGAGCUCAGGUGAUCUUGAAAUACCACUACUUUUAAUGUCACUUUACUUACUCUAUCCAACUGUGCCCUGCCUCACAGCAGGUUUUUGCUUUUAAGGUUGCUCUUUUGGCGUGUUGAUUUGCGUAGAAGACGUCGUCCGGUGGGGAGUUUGGCUGGGGCGGCACAU
rnacentral:rRNA from 1 species